UGAGAACUAACAUGAUAUACU
rnacentral:miRNA from 1 species